UCGAACCCAGUGCCCUAUCCAGAUUAGUUUGGAUUGAUUAGGUAAAUUAGGUAAGGUAUGGUAGAUUUUGAGGUUAUGUUCGUUUCUUGGUUUUAGGUUGUCUGUCGGACAUAACCUCGAAACCUAUGUUUUUAGCAAUGUUAAGUUAGGUAAUUUUUGAGGUUAUGUUAGUUUCUUGGUUAGGGAUAUUUGAGGUUAUGUCUGUCGGAUAUAGCCUCGAUAUCAGCGGCCUACCCAGGUUAUUUAGGUUGAUUAGAUAAGGUUAGGUAAGGUAAGGUAAUUUUUGAGGUUAUGUUUGUUUCUUGGUUAGGGGUAUUUGAUGUCAUAUCUGUAGGAUAUAGCCUCGAACCCAGCGCCCCACCCA